AUGAACGCUAGCUACAGGCUUAACACAUGCAAGUCGAGGGGCAUCAGGAAGAAAGCUUGCUUUCUUUGCUGGCGACCGGCGCACGGGUGAGUAACACGUAUCCAACCUGCCCUUUACUCGGGGAUAGCCUUUCGAAAGAAAGAUUAAUACCCGAUAGCAUAAUGAUUCCGCAUGGUUUCAUUAUUAAAGGAUUCCGGUAAAGGAUGGGGAUGCGUUCCAUUAGGUUGUUGGUGAGGUAACGGCUCACCAAGCCUUCGAUGGAUAGGGGUUCUGAGAGGAAGGUCCCCCACAUUGGAACUGAGACACGGUCCAAACUCCUACGGGAGGCAGCAGUGAGGAAUAUUGGUCAAUGGGCGCUAGCCUGAACCAGCCAAGUAGCGUGAAGGAUGAAGGCUCUAUGGGUCGUAAACUUCUUUUAUAUAAGAAUAAAGUGCAGUAUGUAUACUGUUCUGUAUGUAUUAUAUGAAUAAGGAUCGGCUAACUCCGUGCCAGCAGCCGCGGUAAUACGGAGGAUCCGAGCGUUAUCCGGAUUUAUUGGGUUUAAAGGGAGCGUAGGUGGACUGGUAAGUCAGUUGUGAAAGUUUGCGGCUCAACCGUAAAAUUGCAGUUGAUACUGUCAGUCUUGAGUACAGUAGAGGUGGGCGGAAUUCGUGGUGUAGCGGUGAAAUGCUUAGAUAUCACGAAGAACUCCGAUUGCGAAGGCAGCUCACUGGACUGCAACUGACACUGAUGCUCGAAAGUGUGGGUAUCAAACAGGAUUAGAUACCCUGGUAGUCCACACAGUAAACGAUGAAUACUCGCUGUUUGCGAUAUACAGUAAGCGGCCAAGCGAAAGCAUUAAGUAUUCCACCUGGGGAGUACGCCGGCAACGGUGAAACUCAAAGGAAUUGACGGGGGCCCGCACAAGCGGAGGAACAUGUGGUUUAAUUCGAUGAUACGCGAGGAACCUUACCCGGGCUUAAAUUGCAGUGGAAUGAUGUGGAAACAUGUCAGUGAGCAAUCACCGCUGUGAAGGUGCUGCAUGGUUGUCGUCAGCUCGUGCCGUGAGGUGUCGGCUUAAGUGCCAUAACGAGCGCAACCCUUAUCUUUAGUUACUAACAGGUUAUGCUGAGGACUCUAGAGAGACUGCCGUCGUAAGAUGUGAGGAAGGUGGGGAUGACGUCAAAUCAGCACGGCCCUUACGUCCGGGGCUACACACGUGUUACAAUGGGGGGUACAGAAGGCAGCUAGCGGGUGACCGUAUGCUAAUCCCAAAAGCCUCUCUCAGUUCGGAUCGAAGUCUGCAACCCGACUUCGUGAAGCUGGAUUCGCUAGUAAUCGCGCAUCAGCCACGGCGCGGUGAAUACGUUCCCGGGCCUUGUACACACCGCCCGUCAAGCCAUGGGAGCCGGGGGUACCUGAAGUACGUAACCGCAAGGAUCGUCCUAGGGUAAAACUGGUGACUGGGGCU
rnacentral:rRNA from 1 species